GAUGAACGCUGGCGGCGUGCCUAAUACAUGCAAGUCGAGCGAACAGACGAGGAGCUUGCUCCUCUGACGUUAGCGGCGGACGGGUGAGUAACACGUGGAUAACCUACCUAUAAGACUGGGAUAACUUCGGGAAACCGGAGCUAAUACCGGAUAAUAUAUUGAACCGCAUGGUUCAAUAGUGAAAGACGGUUUUGCUGUCACUUAUAGAUGGAUCCGCGCCGCAUUAGCUAGUUGGUAAGGUAACGGCUUACCAAGGCAACGAUGCGUAGCCGACCUGAGAGGGUGUUCGGCCCCGCUGGAAGUGGAACACGGCCCAGCCUCCAACGGAGGGAAGAAGUAGGGAUUCUUCCGAAAGGGGCGAAAGCUAGCCGGAACACCGCGGGGGAGGUGAAGAAGUUCUUGGGGUGUUAAACUCUUUUUAUUGGGGAAGAAAAAAUUGUUAAAUAACUUUGCCCUUUUUGACGUUACCAAAAAAAAAAGCCACGGCAACCUACG
rnacentral:rRNA from 1 species